rnacentral:rRNA from 1 species
UACGUAGGGUGCAAGCGUUAAUCGGAAUUACUGGGCGUAAAGCGCGUGUAGGCGGACUGGUGUGUCGGAUGUGAAAUCCCCAGGCUCAACCUGGGAACUGCAUUCGAAACUGCCAGCCUUGAGUGGUGGAGAGGGAAGUGGAAUUCCUGGUGUAGAGGUGAAAUUCGUAGAUAUCAGGAGGAACACCAGUGGCGAAGGCGGCUUCCUGGACACCAACUGACGCUGAGACGCGAAAGCGUGGGGAGCAAACAGG